rnacentral:rRNA from 1 species
UACAGAGGUGGCAAGCGUUGUUCGGAAUUACUGGGCGUAAAGGGCGCGUAGGCGGACUGUUUAGUCAGAGGUGAAAGCCCAGGGCUCAACCUUGGAACAGCCUUUGAUACUGGCAGUCUUGAGUACGGGAGAGGUGAGUGGAACUCCGAGUGUAGAGGCGAAAUUCGUAGAUAUUCGGAAGAACACCAGUGGCGAAGGCGACUCACUGGCCCGUUACUGACGCUGAGGCGCGAAAGCGUGGGGAGCAAACAGG